AUUCCAUAGCCACUGAAAUAUUUUUGACCUCAUCUCAGAGUGCAUCUUAAUACAGAAGAGGUAUUCCUUUUCAUUCAACCAUGUCAGAAUACGUUUGCUCUAGAUCUUGAGUUGUUGAAUGCAGAUGGAGAUUUGUAUGAAACUCAGGCUCCGUAUCAUAGCCUCAGUAGUGCCUUAUGUGAUCCACUAAACAAGCAGAGCAGCAAGUUUCAAACAGCAGGUCUGCAGCACCGACAGUUUCCCGGCUGUUGGGUUUCCACUAAGGAGCAUGAAGAGCUCACUGGUAUUCCACCAAAUAUUCUGACAGGUGUAUGUUGGCUUCCAUCAUUUCCAGCAGUUAAGCCCCAUUAAAAUAAAUCAGAAAAACAUCAGAUACUUUUUUGAUGUCACUAGCCUGUGGAGCCACCGUGGAGAUGCCAUUCCUUUUCCUGUGCUGGGGAAACAGUGUACAUGAAAGAGAGAACAGGCCAUUGCACACCCACACAGGAUCCCAGACACACCUUGGCUUGUCCCAGCUUUUGUCUGGGGACUGCUGUUUUUGCUGAGAUUUCUUAACUGUGCAGGCACAACAGACAGUGACUCGUUCUACUCAGUUGUGGCAGAUGUGCAGUUUUCUCCUCUAUUCGCUUAACUCAGCUUGAGAGAGUUGUAAAGAAAUGCUAACCUUCAUUCCUCACCACAGACUGCCUUCUUGCAAGACCCAGUGAAGUUCCUUGUAUCCUUUAUCCUCUUUUCUGAUCAACAGAGGUAUGAGAAAAAUAGUAUCAUAACUCAUACUCUGCUGUGAUAUGUAGGAACAAAUAGUACAUGCUGCUGCUAUUGCUGAGUGGGAACAGGAUGAAGAAACAGAUAAAUGAACAAAAUAAAGGAAUUAGAUUUCAGGAUUGCUGAGGCUUUCCAUAUUUGAGGAUGUUGGAUGUUUUGACUGUAGCUUUCAGGUUUAUAUCAGGAUGUCUUGGAGAUUUGAGUUUGGAGUUUGAGGUCAGGCAAAAACCACAAAGAUUUUUGUACAUGUAGGUGAGUGUUUCUAUGGCCUCUGCAAGAUUUUUCAUCACUACUUCACAGAUGAGGACUGGGGUCUUCAUUUUGGCUGUGUUCAUGUAAACACAUUCAGACCAGAACUUUCCAAAUCAUCAGCUUUCACCUGGAGCCAAAUGGAAAAGACAAUGUAAGAGUCUAUGAAAGGCGGCUUUGGCUUUUUUUUUUUUUUUUUUUUUUUUUUUUUUUUGUACUCCAACUUGAGCAAAUGGUUUCCUAAGCUUCUUGUAAAUGUGGGACUGAUAAUCAGGCACUGUAGAGUAAAUUAAUCAAUUUAGUGCUCUGUUUUAAAAGUUUUACUAUCCAUACAGUAAAAUUCCACCAUUUUACAAUGAAAAUAUGUCUCCUUAAUGAAAGAACAUAGGUCCUCCAAGCAAAAAAAAAAAAAGAUCCUUAGAGGCCUCUUUCUAUAACCAGACUUUACUAGGUAAGAGGAUAUGGAUGCGGGAUUUAACUCCUUUUUGUUUUGUCUAAUAAUCAAUAAUGGCUAAGCACAUAUUCCAUUUUUACUUGAGGCAAAUGAUGUCAUUAUAUCUGGUUUUGAUUCCCCAUGAUUCCCGAGAUGCAGUAAAUGGGAAGGUUUCCAAGUGAAUAAUUGUUGAACCUGAUCUCUUUUUACAUAAUCCCAUAAAAGACAUCCUUCCUCAUAUUAGUUGGUUAGAACUGUGUAAUAUACAGUGUUUCAUCAUUAGCUAGCCUAAAUGGACAUUCAUUGGAUGAGCAUUAUAAUGUUUAAAUUUCUCCUCCGAAAUAAUACAUUAGAGAUUAUUGCUGUAUUUUUUGCUCCAAGGCACUCUGCUUGUAAUCAAAAUCUCAUUAAAAGGAAUUCAUACAUUCUGUAGCCCAAAGGAUCUCAAUUUCAUUCCUUCUCCUCUCCCUGUGCCUCCCAUGCACUGAUUUACAUGGGUGUUUCACCUAAGGAAAAACUGUCCAAUUUGCCUCUUUUAAGAGAGUGUCAAAGGUAUAAACAACAUUAGCCACUAAGUUGUUUACAUAUGCUGAAGAGCUCUGAAAAAAAAAAAACAAUCUCUCUUUGCCAAUUUAAGUCAAACAUUUAAAGUAAUGAGAUCUUCUUUUGCAGAUACGGCUCUGAUGUAUGGUCAGGUGACGAAAUCCUUUGACAUCAUCAUCUGUUUGACCAGAAGGAAAGAUGACUUUAGAUAGAUAUCUAGCCUUGUAACUACCUUACUUUCUAUUUUUUGUCUCUUCUCUUUGACUGAAUUUCUAUCAAAUAACUGAUUCCUUUUAAACUGACUUAGUGAUUACUGGAACAAAAUCUUAUCUAUGUGAAAUGUGAAGUUCUAGAUUUUAUAUGGAGUACUAUUUACCUGUCACUAGGCAGAAAAAAAUAGAGGAUAAAUUACAGUAAUCAGAAAUUUAUUAAUCCAAUUUUUACUUUAACAUCAAGAUUAUCAGGAGAAGUAUUAUUGCUUUUUUAAAGAAAGAUAAACAGCUUCAUUUUUCUCCUCUACAUUGGAAAUUGACAUGCAGGAGAUGCUCAUGGGCAAAGCCUCUAGACUAGUUUUUUUUUUAUUUUUAUUUUUCCUCUGUAUUUCAGAAAGGUUAUGAAGUCUUCUGUUGCAGUCUGCAGUGGUACAAAGAUGCCAGAGUACUAAGUUCUUCAGGUAAAAUUCUUCCACCUUGCUCUACAUCACCAAGGUGAGAUAGCUCUCCCAGGGCAGCCUGCAUCAUCAGUACUUCGGAAUCUUAUUGAAGAUUAAAUGAUGAACUAGUUUCACAGGGGACAUGAUAUAUAGUGUCAGUCUAAACAGACAGAGGGUGUUAAAAGGUAUCAUUGCCUUCAUAUGAUCUGUGAGGAUAUGAAGGGAAGUUCCUGCACCUCUUCACAUUGAUAAAUCCCAGACGGAGUCUCAGGGAUGACAAAAUUGAAGUUCAAGUCCAGAACUGAAUGCAGAGGUCCAGUCCCCUGUUGUAACCAUAACUAUCCUCUUUAACUGGAGUAGUCUCUUAAUAUUCUAAUCCACAUUCUUUUAAUCCACAUUUUAAACUACACAGCCUGCCUUAGGGAAGCUUUUGCUUCUGCUUCUGGCAGAUCUUGUGUUCAGAGAGAAUAACUUCCUUCAGACAAUCAUAACAUUUAUCUCGAUUUACACAUGAAACAAAACAAAACAACAACAACAAAUCCAGAUAUCUCUUUGCUUCAAUUUUGAAUUUUGUAAACUGUAUUUUACUAAGUCCAGCAGAUUCAAGAUGCUUAAGCUUCCUAGCAACCCCUCCUAGGUCAUUUUACAGAGUGAUUGCCUCAAAUACAAUUUUGACAGUAGAUCUAUUACACUUAUUUCUUGGGCUCCUCAUUUUCUCCUUUCUGGCUUAACAGUGCAAGUUGGUGAUGUAAAAGUGUGAUAGAGCAGCAUUUACAUGGAAUGCAAAUGGAUAAUUCUUUGAACUGCUAGAGUGGCACAAACAAUAUUGACCUAAAUUUUCAGUCAGUUUGGAAUGCUGGAAUAUUUGUAAGUUGAAUUAGAUUUUUUGAGCCCUGAUGGAGAAUGUGGAAAGCUUUGCUGUUAUAUGUAGCUUUUGGCCUCUUUGAACUUCUUUCCUAUAUGCACAGAAUGCAGGGAUGCUGUUUGUUUCCUGAACCCAGGCUGACAAUUCAUUUGGCCUAUUCAUUUCCUUGGAUGGAAAAAAAAAAUCAUAGAUUUCUCUUCCCCAUCUCUGAGCUGUAAAUUUUCUUUGUACUUGCUCAUGUAGGGAACACAGUUUAAUGACCUUCCCAACAGCUAAAAGUAAUUAUUAACUAAUUGCUUUUAGAAAUAGGUUUUCCAAGAUAACAGUUUAAAAUAAGCUUGUUUACUGACACUCGCUCAUCCAUAUAAUUCACAUCUUGCAACUGAAAUCACUACUUUCUUUAAUAUAAUGAGUUUUAGGAAGUCCUCUACAGGUUUCCCAAAUGUUCAGAGAAAAUACCUGAGUGGCACAUUAGUAUGUUAAUAAACAUUUUAUUCACUUCACAUUCAACACAGGGACUUGUAGCUGAAAGAGGUUAUAACUCACAGUUUAGGAAGAGCUUUUCAGAGGUAGCCUUAUUCAUGGUCCUUCAGAGCAAUAAGUUUUAAUUUUUUUAACCUCAUGUAAAAUUUUUGAGAAUUCACUGACUCUCACCUGGUUUUAAAAAAAGGUUUUUCAUGUAAUUCAUUUAACAUUUUAAGGGUGUAGAAAGUUCUGCAAUGAAUAAUGCUAGAGGUUUAUCUAGUUGAAUGUGUCUAGUAACAGAUACUGUAUUGAACUUCAUGUUCAACAACAAUAAAGUAGUAAUGGACUUAUAGGGGAUAGUAGUCCCUAAACAUAGGGAAACUAAAACACAUGUUAAAUCCAAAGCAGAUGAUUAGUGACAAUUAAGUUAGUGAAAUUACUCAUGCUUAAACAUAAGUAUCUUAACAUUAGUAAUUUCCUUUAGGUUAUCUUAUAUCUCCAGUUAGAUU